GACAGAGGGUGCAAACGUUGCUCGGAAUCACUGGGCGUAAAGGGCGUGUAGGCGGGAAGGAAAGUCGGGCGUGAAAUCCCUGGGCUCAACCCAGGAACUGCACUCGAAACUUCUUUUCUUGAGUGCCGGAGAGGAAAGCGGAAUUCCUGGUGUAGAGGUGAAAUUCGUAGAUAUCAGGAGGAACACCAGUGGCGAAGGCGGCUUUCUGGACGGUAACUGACGC
rnacentral:rRNA from 1 species